rnacentral:rRNA from 1 species
AUGCUUUAUACAUGCAAGUCGAACGAAGGCCCUAGCUUGCUAGGUGUCCUUAGUGGCGCACGGGUGAGUAACACGUGGGAACAUACCUUAUAGUACGGAAUAACUGCGGGAAACUGUAGCUAAUACCGUAUACUCCAGUAAUGGGAAAGAUUUAUCGCUAUAAGAUUGGCCCGCGCAAGAUUAGCUUGUUGGUGAGGUAAAAGCUCACCAAGGCUUCGAUCUUUAGCUGGUUUGAGAGGAUGAUCAGCCACACUGGGACUGAGACACGGCCCAGACUCCUACGGGAGGCAGCAGUAGGGAAUAUUGGACAAUGGGGGCAACCCUGAUCCAGCAAUGCAGCGUGAGUGACGAAGGCCUUAGGGUUGUAAAACUCUUUCAUCGGUGAGGAUAAUGACAGUAGCCGAAGAAGAAGGACCGGCUAAUUCCG